UGGGGAAUUUUGGACAAUGGGCGCAAGCCUGAUCCAGCCAUGCCGCGUGCAGGAUGAAGGCAUUCGGGUUGUAAACUGCUUUUGUACGGAACGAAAAAGCUCUCUCUAUACAGGGGGU
rnacentral:rRNA from 1 species